UUCUGCUGCAGCCCAGCUCCUGGACUGGCCCCAGGUUCUGGCCCUAAGGGUUUCGAUCCAAGCAUCAUUCACUGUCGCACAUGUUUGGCAGCAAGACCCAGCCCACUGUCUUAGGUAAGCCCAAGGCUCCCCGUUUGGUCACUCUGUUCCCGCCCUCCUCUGAGGAGUUCCAAGCUAACAAGGCCACCCUAGUGUGUCUCAUGAAUGACUUCUACCUGGGCACCGUGACAGUGGCCUGGAAGGCAGACGGCAUCAUCAUCACCCAGGACGUGGAGACCACUAAGCCUCCCAAACAGAGCAAGAAACAGGCCAGCAGCUACCUGAGCCUGAUGCCUGAACAGUGGAGAUCCCGCAGCAGCUACAACUGCUGGGCCAUGCAUAAAAGGAGCACCCUGGAGAAGACAAUGGCCCAUACAGAAUGUUC
rnacentral:lncRNA from 1 species